rnacentral:rRNA from 1 species
GACGAACGCUGGCGGCGUGCCUAAUACAUGCAAGUUGAGCGCUGAAGGUUGGUACUUGUACCAACUGGAUGAGCAGCGAACGGGUGAGUAACGCGUGGGGAAUCUGCCUUUGAGCGGGGGACAACAUUUGGAAACGAAUGCUAAUACCGCAUAAAACCUUUAAACACAAGUUUUAAGUUUGAAAGAUGCAAUUGCAUCACUCAACGAUGAUCCCGCGUUGUAUUAGCUAGUUGGUGAGGUAAAGGCUCACCAAGGCGAUGAUACAUAGCCGACCCGGGAGGGUGUGCGGCCACAUUGGGACGGAGACACGGCCCAAACUCCUACGGGAGGCAGCAGUAGGGAAUCUUCGGCAAGGGACGAAAGUCUGACCGAGCAACGCCGCGUGAGUGAAGAAGGUUUUCGGAUCGUAAAACUCUGUUGGUAGAGAAGAACGUUGGUGAGAGUGGAAAGCUCAUCAAGUGACGGUAACUACCCAGAAAGGGACGGCUAACUACGUGCCAGCAGCCGCCGUAAUAC